GAAGAAGAUGAUAAUUGAGGAUCUUGAUAGAUUUGUGAAAAGGAGGGAUUUUUACAAGAAAGUUGGUAAGGCAUGGAAAAGAGGAUAUCUUUUGUAUGGACCUCCAGGAACAGGGAAAUCUAGCUUGAUUGCUGCCAUGGCCAAUUACUUAAAGUUCGAUAUUUAUGAUUUGGAACUCACCAGUUUGUAUUCUAAUUCGGAAUUGAGAAGGAUUUUGAUCUCCACUUCAAAU
rnacentral:misc_RNA from 1 species